AAAAGUGAUUCUUAUUCCAGUGCAUUUGUUUUUGCUCAAAUGGGUCUGACGCUGCCACAUACAUUAUAUAGGAGUUGGUGAAGGCUUGAAGACAGAGCAGUCUCUCUUGAGCUUUUUCUGCACCAGAGAUUGGCUCCCACAUGU
rnacentral:snoRNA from 1 species